rnacentral:lncRNA from 10 species
AUGUGCACCCUGAAAAACACCCUGAAAAGGCCUUGUGGCCGGGCGCGGUGGCUCACGCCUGUAAUCCCAGCACUUUGGGAGGCUGAGGUGGGCGGAUUUUCUGAGGUGGAAGUUCAAGACCAGCCUGGCCAACAUGGUGAAACCCCGUCUCUACUAAAUAGUAAAUACAAAAAUUAGCCGGGGGUGGUGACAUGCACCUGUAAUCCCAGCUACUUGGGAAGUUGAGGCGGGACAAUUGCUUGAACCUGGGAGGCGGAGGUUGCAGUGAGCAGAGAUCCUGCCACUGCACUCCAGACUGGGCGAAAGAGCGAGACUCCAUCUCAAAAAAACACAAAAAAACAACAAAAAAACUAAGGCCUUGUUGGGAGACAGAUCAGCUGGGACCAGGGCACAGGGCACCAGGCUCCCAGUGGUUCUCUGAGAGUCAUCUGGGUGUCUUCUGGGCUCCACCCCCUGGUAAUAGGAGGAGGAGAGGACGCCAGGAGAUCAGCGGAGUGCUUUGUUCACGGUCACUGGGGCAGGGCGGUGGCCUUUGGCCAUCUCCUGGGCCAGCCCUGCCCCACACUUCCUUGGGGACUGUGCAGGGGCUGAACCCCAGGGAGGUGGGGCAUGCACGCUGCUCCUGAUGCCACUCCGUCAGAGCAGCGUGGAUGGCCCCAUGGCUGCCCCGGGCUCCUGGCCAGACACCCACAGCCCGGGCAGGUAGGGACGCUUGCGGCCACUUACAUCAGAUAUUCCUGCCUCGUGGCCCCAUGGCCAGAGCUCUCAGCCCCGCAGGGGUCCUGAAAUGACCCUGCCCACGGCCCUUCAUAGCAAGGGAUGGCCCUUGGGCCGUGGUUCUGGUCCCUGGAGAGCCAAGCAGGUGGGAACUGUGAGGUGGUCUCUCGUGCCACCCACUACACUUGCAAGUGUGUACAGGCGUGCACAGCCCACCCCCACCUUUCACUCCCACAUGGGCCCAUGGCUGACCCUGCAAGGACCUAGGCUUGGGGCCUCCCCCAGGGACGCCUGCCUCCGCGGGCACACAGACACACGCCCCGAUCUGCUCACACUCGUACCCACACCAAGUUUUUUUUUUUUUAUGUUGUAGGG